rnacentral:rRNA from 1 species
UGGGGAAUUUUGGACAAUGGGCGAAAGCCUGAUCCAGCAAUGCCGCGUGUGUGAAGAAGGCCUUCGGGUUGUAAAGCACUUUUGUCCGGAAAGAAAUCCUUGGCUCUAAUACAGUCGGGGGAUGACGGUACCGGAAGAAUAAGCACCGGCUAACUACGUGCCAGCAGCCGCGGUAAUACGUAGGGUGCAAGCGUUAAUCGGAAUUACUGGGCGUAAAGCGUGCGCAGGCGGUUUGCUAAGACCGAUGUGAAUCCCGGGCUCAACCUGGGAACUGCAUUGGUGACUGGCAGGCUAGAGUAUGGCAGAGGGGGGUAGAAUUCCACGUGUAGCAGUGAAAUGCGUAGAGAUGUGGAGGAAUACCGAUGGCGAAGGCAGCCCCCUGGGCCAAUACUGACGCUCAUGCACGAAAGCGUGGGGAGCAAACAGGAUUAGAUACCCUGGUAGUCCACGCCCUAAACGAUGUCAACUAGUUGUUGGGGGACUUUCAUUUUCCUUAGUAACGUAGCUAACGCGUGAAGUUGACCGCCUGGGGAGUACGGUCGCAAGUU